rnacentral:rRNA from 2 species
AGAGUUUGAUCCUGGCUCAGGACGAACCGCUGGCGGCGUGCCUAAUACAUGCAAGUCGAACGCACUCUCGUUAGAUUGAAGAAGCUUGCUUCUGAUUGAUAACAUUUGAGUGAGUGGCGGACGGUGAGUAACACGUGGGUAACCUGCCCUAAAGUGGGGGAUAACAUUUGGAAACAGAUGCUAAUACCGCAUAAAACCUAGCACCGCAUGGUGCAAGGUUGAAAGAUGGUUUCGGCUAUCACUUUAGGAUGGACCCGCGGUGCAUUAGUUAGUUGGUGAGGUAAAGGCUCACCAAGACCGUGAUGCAUAGCCGACCUGAGAGGGUAAUCGGCCACACUGGGACUGAGACACGGCCCAGACUCCUACGGGAGGCAGCAGUAGGGAAUCUUCCACAAUGGACGAAAGUCUGAUGGAGCAACGCCGCGUGAGUGAAGAAGGUUUUCGGAUCGUAAAACUCUGUUGUUGGAGAAGAACGUAUUUGAUAGUAACUGAUCAGGUAGUAGACGGUAUCCAACCAGAAAGCCACGGCUAACUACGUGCCAGCCAGCCGCGGUAAUACGUAGGUGGCCGUCAAGCGUUGUCCGGAUUUGAUUGGGCGUAAAGCGAGCGCAGGCGGUUUCCCUUAAGUCUGAUGUGAAAGCCUUCGGCUCAACCGAAGAAGUGCAUCGGAAACUGGGAAACUUGAGUGCAGAAGAGGACAGUGGAACUCCAUGUGUAGCGGUGAAAUGCGUAGAUAUAUGGAAGAACACCAGUGGCGAAGGCGGCUGUCUGGUCU